rnacentral:antisense_RNA from 1 species
AGAGAUUUCCCCUUCUCUGUUUCAGAUAUGAUCCCAGGGGACUGCUAUUGUCAUCUUGACCCUGUAAAGACAGUGAGGCUGAGGACAAGGCCUCCCGACCAAGAGGGCAGCGCUGAGAGAAGGAGACAGAGCCAGAUACUGCAGUGUCUACAACCACGCUUGGAGACACAUCAUUGUGUUCUGUCACACCAACCAGCCUGCACCAGAGACACAGGAAUCUUGAUCUUCUGGCAGAAAACUCUUCCAAAACAUUCCUAUGUGACACUGCUCAUGUAUAGGUGUUCCAAACCGAAUGUCCAGUUAUUUCCACCAUUGUGCAAAAAUGGGAGACCCUGCCGAGCAGCAGAUGGCCCUCAGCAGGGCUGACACUCAGGCCAGGCCCCAGGUGGCAGCUCUCAGAACACACUGUCCAGCUAAACCCUGCACAGACUGGCCGUGGAAAAUACCUGGUGUUCACAUUCCCCAAAAGUUGGGCAAAUGACAGGGUCACCCAGUGCACUUCAUGGGGUCAGUGGGGAGAACCAGCAUUUCAGCACAAGUUCACAAAUCACUGGGUCCCCCUUGUCAAACACUGCAAAUAUGUAGCAUGCUAAGAAAAAUCUCCUUACCUCUCAGACUCUGUAUCACUCGGUUCAUCUGAGUUGCUACAAUGGACAAUAAAAUCUAAUAAGUUAAAAUGAGGUAUGGAAUGCUCAGGAGAAAAACAAGGACUAGUACUCCUCAUGUGAGUAAAUAAUUUCUCUCACAGGGUUAAUUUUAGCUUUGCAAGUUUUUUAUUUGAGAUUAUAUUUUAAA